rnacentral:rRNA from 1 species
AGUAACGCGUGAGGAACCUGCCUCAAAGAGGGGGACAACAGUUGGAAACGACUGCUAAUACCGCAUAAGCCCACGGCUCGGCAUCGAGCAGAGGGAAAAGGAGCAAUCCGCUUUGAGAUGGCCUCGCGUCCGAUUAGCUAGUUGGUGAGGUAAUGGCACACCAAGGCGACGAUCGGUAGCCGGACUGAGAGGUUGAACGGCCACAUUGGGACUGAGACACGGCCCAGACUCCUACGGGAGGCAGCAUG